rnacentral:rRNA from 1 species
GCGAGCCCAGAUCAGGAGGGAUUGCCCAGAUCAGGAGGGAUUACCCGCUGAGUUUA